CUAGAAUUCACUAGCACCUCAUUCCCUUUUUAAUUGCUGACUAAUACCCUGCCGGGGUCCAGCCUCAGCAGAGUCCAGGUUCUCGCGGGAGAGACGGCAUCGGCGAAAGUAGUAAGACCAGCGAUGAAGAUUAACAUUAUUGGCUUUCCAAACUGUCUCAAAUACUUUAUUAGAUUCUUCAUAUUAUCUGGAACUAAAUACCACAAAAAAAGACAAACAGGAAACCUGGGAAGAGUCCAUAAUGUAUUCUAAGAUAUUUUCUGAAAUGGCAUUUGAAGUUCGUCUUGCUGUUUUUGUCAUCCAGUCAAUCAAUAAGUUGUUACGGAGCUCCUCUCAUGAUGAUUUAUAUGGACAAUCUAUAAUUAACACCUGCUUCUGCAGUUUCCUCUGUCACCAGAUGCAUUUCACAUUCCCAUGAGGCAAACUACGCAUUACUUAUUCAAAUACAUUUAUAAAGUGUGUGUGUGCUAAAUGCAGUGAACUAUAAUGGUUAACAAAAAACCUCUGGCCUCAAGGAUCCUAUGAUUUUAUUAGUGGGUUUUUUUGACAAAUUUUACUCAAUAGAUUUUGUUUCGACGUUGUUUAAUGGUGCUUCUCAAAAAUACC